rfam:Nematostella vectensis strain CH2 x CH6 NEMVEscaffold_350_Cont24649, whole genome shotgun sequence.
ACCAGGAUGGCCGAGUGGUUAAGGCGUUGGACUUAAGUUCCAAUGUACGAAUGUACGCGUGGGUUCGAACCCUACUCCUGGUA